UGAACGCUAGCUACAGGCUUAACACAUGCAAGUCGAGGGGCAGCGGUAUCGAAAGCUUGCUUUCGGUAGCCGGCGACCGGCGCACGGGUGAGUAACGCGUAUCGAACCUGCCUCAUACUCGGGAAUAGCCUUGCGAAAGUAAGAUUAAUGCCCGGUGUUUUCAGAGUCCCGCAUGAGGCUUUGAACAAAGAUUUAUCGGUAUGAGAUGGCGAUGCGUCCCAUUAGCUUGUUGGCGGGGUAACGGCCCACCAAGGCAUCGAUGGGUAGGGGUUCUGAGAGGAAGGUCCCCCACAUUGGAACUGAGACACGGUCCAAACUCCUACGGGAGGCAGCAGUGAGGAAUAUUGGUCAAUGGGCGGAAGCCUGAACCAGCCAAGUAGCGUGCAGGAAGACGGCCCUCCGGGUUGUAAACUGCUUUUAGUUGGGAAUAAAACGGGGCUCGUGAGCCCCCUUGCAUGUACCAUCAGAAAAAGGACCGGCUAAUUCCGUG
rnacentral:rRNA from 1 species